GAACCUCUCGGGGUUACAGCCUUGCUGAAUUAUUCACCCUUGUCUUUUGCGUACUUCUUGUUUCCUUGGUGGGUUCGCCCACCACUAGGACAAACAUAAACCUUUUGUAAUUGCAAUCAGCGUCAGUAACAAAUUAAUAAUUACAACUUUCAACAACGGAUCUCUUGGUUCUGGCAUCGAUGAAGAACGCAGCGAAAUGCGAUAAGUAGUGUGAAUUGCAGAAUUCAGUGAAUCAUCGAAUCUUUGAACGCACAUUGCGCCCUUUGGUAUUCCAAAGGGCAUGCCUGUUCGAGCGUCAUUUGUACCCUCAAGCUUUGCUUGGUGUUGGGCGUCUUGUCUCUAGCUUUGCUGGAGACUCGCCUUAAAGUAAUUGGCAGCCGGCCUACUGGUUUCGGAGCGCAGCACAAGUCGCACUCUCUAUCAGCAAAGGUCUAGCAUCCAUUAAGCCUUUUUUCAACUUUUGACCU
rnacentral:rRNA from 1 species